CCCUGCCCAGAUGCAGCAGAAACAUGUACAACAUAAUAAAUGACAUAUUAAUUUAUGGUACAAAAAAAAAUGUUUUUAAAACUAAAUUGGAUGUCCCUUUAAUAUUGAGGUUGAGGCCCCUGUCUGCAUCCCGGUCAGUACCCCUUUAAUCCAACCCUACCCAGAUGGAGCUGAAAGUAGGACGAUAUACCCCAUUUUAUUUCUUACCAUUUUCAUCCCCGUUUGGAAAUCCAGCAUACGUCACUAAAUUGAUGGCAUGUCAAUUCUGAUUUGAAUACAUCGCGGGGAGGGGUUGUGGGAUUUACAGUGUCACGCUCAGGGGCCUCUGGCACACAGUCCGCUCUACUUGACAGAUCCACGAAUGAACCGUAUGCAAAGACACAUUAAGAACAGAACCGAGAUUCAGUGUUCGCCACGUUCCUCCUGUAGAUCCGAGAUUGGUUGUUCACACCCGUUCUCCCUAAUGACCUCAGAUUUACUAGUUGGAACCACACGAUUUAUUGACUCUAAAUUCAUUUCUAACAGCGUCCUCCUUAUUGACCCUUGAGUCACUGUUCACGCUGUAAACACCGUUCUACUUACUGACCUUGGAAUUAAAAUUAGAACCGCCCCUUGUAUUGACACUAAAAAUCAGUUCUCCUUGUUGAUUUUAAAUUUCUUGAUCGAUUGCAGGUUUAUAAAAGGCAACGCAGAUUAUGAAUCAUUGAAAAGGGUGACGUGCCACAAAGGUGAAUCGCAAAGUGGCCUAAACAGAUCACCGUACACAGAAAGUUCUAUAGUACAAAUAAAUAAUAGCCACUAGAUAUCGACAGACUAAAGUCUGUGCUGAAUCUUAUGUUAAAAGGGUGACUGUACAGACUACUGAUAAAGAUAUGGUAGCUUACUAGACCAAGCAAAUACCUAAAAUGGAGAAUCUUUCCAGGAAGUUAACGAUAUGCUGGCGGGUAACAAAGGCACUUUUAGGUUUCAUCAUUAGUGUGACCCUAAUGACCAUUGCCUACUUUAUUCCACCAAUACAACGUCUCCUUAAAAAACAAAUGACUUCCAUGAUGGACGGGGCUAAUAAAAAGGAUAUUACACUGGACUCCUUUUUCGGCUGGAAAAUGUUCACAAAUGCCUUUCAUACAAAUAUUUUGGAAGCUUUCAAGACAGCAGAACUGAACAAAAUGGCUCCAAACGUUGCUCUAGUGUCGUCAGAUGGGUCAAAGAAACACUUCCUAUUGGAUUUCAUGAAGAAAGGGCGACCUCUUGUGUUGAACUUUGGUAGCUGUACCUGACCCCCGUUCAUGGCAAAGUUACGGAAAUUCAACGAAUUAGUACGAAACUUUGCUGAUGAUAUUGACUUUUUGACAAUUUACAUCGAGGAAGCUCAUCCUAAUGAUGGAUGGCGUGUAACUU